CCCUGCGUCAUCUCCCCGCGCCACACGGGGCGGCUCUGGGAGCUGGUGGGCGCAGAUGGCGGCGGCGGAGCAGCAGAACGACCCCGGGCCUGCCCAGGAGCUGCUGGUAGCGUGGAAUACCGUGAGCACCGGGCUGGUGCCGCCGGCCGCACUGGGACUGGCAUCCUCCCGGACCAGCGGCGCGGUCCCUCCAAAGGAGGAGGAGCUCCGGGCGGCGGUGGAGGUUCUCAGGAGCCACGGACUGCACUCGGUCCUGGAGGAAUGGUUCGUAGAGGUGCUCCAGAAUGACCUGCAGGCCAGCAUCGCCCUCGAGUUCUGGAAUACCAUCUCCCAGCGCGAGAACUGCGCGGACGAGCCCCAGUGCCUUCUGCUGCUCCUCGAUGCUUUCGGUCUGCUGGAGAGCCGCCUGGAUCCCUACCUGCGGAGUCUAGAGCUCCUGGAGAAGUGGACUCGCCUGGGCUUGCUCAUGGGCACUGGUGCCCAGGGCCUUCGCGAAAAGGUCCACACCACCGUGCGGGGCGUCCUGUUCUUUUCCACCCCCAGACCUUUCCAGGAGAUGAUCCAGCGUCUCUAUGGGCGCUUUUUGAGGGUAUACAUGCAGAGUAAGAGAAAAGGGGAAGGGGGCACAGAUCCUGAACUGGAGGGGGAGUUGGACAGCAGGUACGCCCGUCGCCGGUACUACCGCCUUCUGCAGAGCCCGCUGUGCGCCGGGUGUGGCAGUGACAAGCAACAGUGCUGGUGCCGCCAGGCGCUGGAGCAGUUCCACCACCUCAGCCAAGUCCUACACAGGCUCAGUCUGCUGGAGCGGGUCAGCGCGGAGGCCGUGACCAGCUCCCUGCGCCAGGCGACCCGGGAGAGGAUGGAGGACCGCUGCCGGGGCGAGUACGAGCGCUCCUUCUUGCGCGAGUUCCACAAGUGGAUCGAGAGGGUGGUCGGCUGGCUGGGCAAGGUGUUCCUGCAGGAAGGCCCCUCCAGGCCCGCGUCGGCGGAGGCCGGCAGCACGCUGCGCCGCUGGCGCUGCCACGUGCAGAGGUUCUUCUACCGCAUCUACGCGGGUCUGCGCAUCGAGGAGCUCUUCAGCAUCAUCCGAGACUUCCCAGACUCCCGGCCGGCCAUCGAGGACCUCAAAUACUGCCUGGAGAGGACCGACCAGCGGCAGCAGCUGCUCGUGUCCCUCAAGGCUGCUCUGGAGACGCGGCUCCUCCACCCAGGCGUGAGCACCUGCGACAUCAUCACCCUGUACAUCUCUGCCAUCAAGGCGCUGCGCGCGCUGGACCCAUCCAUGGUCGUCCUGGACGUGGCCUGUGAGCCCAUCCGCCGUUACCUGAGGACGCGUGAGGACACGGUGCGGCAGAUCGUGGCGGGGCUGACCGGGGACUCGGAUGGCACGGGGGACCUGGCUGUCGAGCUGUCCAAGACAGACCCGGCAAGCCUGGAGACCGGCCAGGACAGCGAGGACGACUCUGGCGAGCCGGAGGACUGGGUGCCCGACCCUGUGGACGCAGACCCAGGCAAGUCCAGCUCCAGACGGCGCUCCUCGGACAUCAUCAGCCUGCUGGUCAGCAUCUACGGCAGCAAGGACCUCUUCAUCAACGAGUACCGCUCGCUGCUGGCCGACCGCCUCCUGCACCAGUUCAGCUUCAGCCCCGAGCGGGAGAUCCGCAACGUGGAGCUGCUGAAGCUGCGCUUUGGCGAGGCCCCGAUGCACUUCUGCGAAGUCAUGCUCAAGGACAUGGCAGACUCGCGCCGCAUCAACGCCAACAUCCGCGAGGAGGACGAGAAGCGGCCGCCGGAGGAGCAGCCGCCGUUCGGGGUUUACGCCGUCAUCCUGUCCAGCGAGUUCUGGCCGCCCUUCAAGGACGAGAAGCUGGAGGUCCCGGAGGACAUCCGGGAGGCGCUGGAGGUUUACUGCAGGAAGUACGAGAAGCUCAAGGCCAUGCGGACACUCAGCUGGAAGCACACCCUGGGCCUGGUAACCAUGGAUGUGGAGCUGGCCGACCGCACCCUGUCUGUGGCCGUGACCCCUGUGCAGGCAGUGGUCUUGCUGUACUUCCAGGACCAAGCCAGCUGGACCCUGGAGGAGCUGAGCAAGGCAGUGAAGAUGCCCGUGGCGCUGCUGCGGCGGCGCAUGUCGGUGUGGCUGCAGCAGGGUGUGCUGCGCGAGGAGCCGGCCGGCACCUUCUCGGUGGUGGAGGAGGAGCGGCCCCAGGACCGGGACAGCAUGGUGCUCAUCGACAGUGACGAUGAGAGCGACUCGGGCAUGGCCUCGCAGGCCGACCAGAAGGAGGAGGAGCUGCUGCUCUUCUGGACGUACAUCCAGGCCAUGCUGACCAACCUGGAGAGCCUCUCGCUGGAGCGCAUCUACAGCAUGCUGCGCAUGUUCGUGGUGACCGGCCCCGCGCUGGCUGAGAUCGACCUGCAGGAGCUCCAGGGCUUCCUGCAGAAGAAAGUGCGGGACCAGCAGCUCGUCUACGCCGCCGGCGUCUACCGCCUGCCCAAGAGCUGCGGCUGACACGCCCGCCCCGCGCCGACUGGAACCUACUGCGAGUGCAGCCUUGGCCUCAGCCGCGAGGCCCUCAUUGCCCUGCUGGUGGUGCUGGCGGGUGUCAGCGCCAGCUGCUUCUGCGCCCUCGUCAUUGUGGCGAUGGGCGUCAUUCGAGCCAAGGGUGAAACAUGCCCUGGACACAUGGACAGCAGGUUGGUGGGGCACUUUGGGGUUCAGGAGGAUCGCAUGGACCUGCACACGGUGCACGUGGAGUCCCACCUCAUGGACCCCGACCUGGACGCCUCCAUGAUGCCUCCCCUGGAAGAUCAAGGCCUCACAGCUAUCACCAUGGACUCCGGGAACCUGGAGGAGCCGCCCGCCCCCACCACCUGAGUAGGGCUUGGGGCAGCUCAGGGAGGGGAAAUAAAUAGUAUUUAGUGCU